rnacentral:rRNA from 1 species
AGAAUCAACGCUGGCGGCGUGCCUAACACAUGCAAGUCGAACGCGGUUACUACUGCUUCGCAAGAAGUAGUAGUGACUGAGUGGCGAACGGGUGAGUAACACGUGGGUGACCUGCCUUCGAGUGGGGGAUAACGUUCCGAAAGGGACGCUAAUACCGCAUGACAUCCUGCCUUUGAAGAGGUGGAUAUUAAAGCUGGGGAUCGUAAGACCUGGCGCUUGAAGAGGGGCCCGCGUCCGAUUAGCUUAGGUUGGUGGGGUAACGGCCUACCAAGGCGACGAUCGGUAGCCGGCCUGAGACGGGGCGGACGGGCC